GCAGUCCUCAAUCGUCCUAGCAACACAAGCCUGCUGAGAUAUGAUUAGAUAAAGACUUUACAAUAAUAUACAACACUGGAAGCGGCGAAAUCAAGCGGAAAUAAUGAGACGAAGAAAAUACACCAUGGGGAAUUAUUUUAUUUACAAAAAACAACUUUUCACAGUAUGUUGGGGCUAGCAGAAAAGUUAGCUGCCCCUGGCAACCGUAGUGUCAGUAGUGAAGGACUUCCUCGCUGUCUCCAACGUCUGCGUCUCUCCUGCGUUUUCACGCACGUCCGUGCAUGUGCAUAAAUGCCAUGGAAACCGCUGACGCGAAAUGGGUCGUCAUUUGCCCCAGGGCCUUGUGAAGCUCUGGAGUCGCUUCAAGCGUUGGAGAAACCGGAGGAUCCAGCCGGAGCAGCCGGUGGGCGAAGGUGGUCCAGAUGGGCCUAACGGCGUCCACGUCCAUCCUUCACCCACUCCUCAGGUGGGUGACUCAUACACACCCCAUCCACCUUCUCCUCCACGCUCUCUUGUUUUUUGGUCUGCUGGUCCUUCUGUUUCCCCUUCACCCCCUCCUGUUCCUUGUUGCUUUGAUGUUCUUGCUUUUUCUCCUUCACCCUGUCCUACUCCUUCUUUUUCUUCUUCUUCUUUCUCACUCUCUUCUGCUUCCUCUGGUACUUGGUGCUCUGACAUCUUUCCCUUUUCUCCUUACCCUUCUCCUACUCCUUCUUCUUCUUCUUCCUCACUCUCUUCUGCUCACUCUGCUUCUCUGUGCUCUCCUCCUCACUCUCUCAUCUCUCCUUUUUCUUCUCCCUCGCCCUCCUCUGCUUACUCUGGUACUUGUUGCUCUGCUGUCCUUCCCUUUUCUCCUUCACCCUCUGCUGUUCCUAGUUGUUCUGCUGUCUUUCCUUUUUGUCCUUCACCCUCUCCUACUCCUUCUUCUUCUUCCUCACCCUCUUCUGCUUACUCUUGUCUUUGUUGCUCUGAUGCCCUUCCUUUGUCCCCUUUACCCUCUCCUGUGACGGAGAGAGUGAAGGAGCUCAUCCAGCAGCUCAUCUUCCAGGAGAGGUAAGGAAGACAGUGAUGAGGAGGGGGCUGCUCUUGGAAGACUCAACUGUGGGACACUGUUUCCUACAGUGAAACCAGUCUUGGAUUUGACCCCAGGGCACCUUUUUUGUAGUUUUAUCUCUAUACCAUAAGUUUAAAUGUUCAUUCCAACUUUGAGAACUAGCCUUUGCGUCUGGCUGGGCAGUUUUCAGGUCCCCGGCAGCGUCUGGCGCUGGGACCUUUCUUUCUUUCCUGGAUGAACACAAGUUUAAAUGUUAAUUUUUACCCUGAGAACUAGCCUUUGCGUCUGGCUGGGCGGUUCUCAGGUCCCAGGUAGCGUCUGGCACCUGGGCCAGUUUUUGCUGUUUUUUAUAUUUUAGCAUGGCGGUUGGAUGGACUUUUCUUUCACCCUGAAGGCUGAGUUCAGCGCCUGGCAGGGCCGUCGAUCCCCCCAUGCAAGUUGCCCUAGCGUCUGGCGGGGUAGCUAUUAUGUUUCCUCCACAGCGAUAGAAGGUCAGCUCAGUCACAGUGGCACUGGGGACACAUGUCGUCUCCCACUGAAGCUCCUCGGUGGCAGAUGACUGCAGUGUCAGGUGUUAUGGAGGAGACACAUGGCGAGACGAGGGAACCAGGAGAUGAGCAACGAGACAACCAAUCUGGACCAAGAGCCGGCAUUCCAAGCAGCCCGGACCUAAGCUGUCAAACCGAUCGCAGGAACCACAGCUGCACAAUUACGUUCAGUGCAGCUGUGGAGGCUGGAGAACUGUGACAACAGAGACCAUAGGACCACCUGGAGAGAAGUUGUCACCUGUGUCUAUGGAGGCUCAAUGCAAUAACAUCCUGCAGCUCUUCGCUCUCUCCAGCCUCUGGUCCAGACAGAGGGGAGCCUCCCA